GUGUUGGUGGUUUAACGCCGAGGUCACACCCGUUCUCAUUCCGAACACGGAAGUUAAGCUUGGUAGUGCCGAUGGUACUCGCAAGGGGAGAGUAGGUAGCCGCCAGCACA
rnacentral:rRNA from 1 species